CUACGGGAUGCUCCAGUGGGGAAUAUUGCACAAUGGGGGAAACCCUGAUGCAGCAACGCCGCGUGGAGGAUGACGCAUUUCGGUGUGUAAACUCCUUUUAUAUAGGAAGAUAAUGACGGUACUAUAUGAAUAAGCACCGGCUAACUCCGUGCCAGCAGCCGCGGUAAUACGGAGGGGUGCAAGCGUUACUCGGAAUCACUGGGCGUAAAGCGCGCGCAGGCGGCCUUUUAAGUUGGAUGUGAAAGCCUAUGGCUUAACCAUAGAACUGCAUCCAAAACUAUCAGGCUAGAGUCUGGGAGGGGAAGAUGGAAUUAGUUGUGUAGGGGUAAAAUCCGUAGAGAUAACUAGGAAUACCAAAAGCGAAGGCGAUCUUCUGGAACAGUACUGACGCUGAGGCGCGAAAGCGUGGGGAGCAAACAGGAUUAGAUACCCUUGUAGUC
rnacentral:rRNA from 1 species